GAUGAACGCUAGCUACAGGCUUAACACAUGCGAGUCGAGGGGAAACGACAUCGAAAGCUUGCUUUUGAUGGGCGUCGACCGGCGCACGGGUGAGUAACGCGUAUCCAACCUGCCCAUCACUUGGGUAUAACCUUGCGAAAGUAAGACUAAUACCCAAUGAUAUCUCUAGAAGACAUCUGAAAGAGAUUAAAGAUUUAUCGGUGAUGGAUGGGGAUGCGUCUGAUUAGCUUGUUGGCGGGGUAACGGCCCACCAAGGCAACGAUCAGUAGGGGUUCUGAGAGGAAGGUCCCCCACAUUGGAACUGAGACACGGUCCAAACUCCUACGGGAGGCAGCAGUGAGGAAUAUUGGUCAAUGGGCGAGAGCCUGAACCAGCCAAGUAGCGUGCAGGAAGACGGCCCUAUGGGUUGUAAACUGCUUUUAUAAGGGAAUAAAGUGAGAGUCGUGACUCUUUUUGUAUGUACCUUAUGAAUAAGGACCGGCUAAUUCCGUG
rnacentral:rRNA from 1 species